rnacentral:lncRNA from 1 species
GAAGGAACCAGGUUCUCCACUUAGGAGGGAGUCAUUCAGGGACUUAGGAAACCACAGGCCUGAGAAAUGGUGCUCAGUCUUAAGUUUCUGACCAAAAUAAGACAAAAGUUCUGCUGGGAUCUCACAAACAGCCCAACCUGAGUCAAAGGCACUCAGGCCUGCUUUUAACGUAGUAAAAUUCCUCAGGUGCCACAGAAAUAAGACGUGCAACUCUCUCUUUGCUGGCCCUUGACAGCGAGGGGAGUGGGUGGAUUCCCUGGCUCUCUUCACCUCCUAUGGGACAGGGACAAGUUCCUUUCCUCUCACCUGUGCUCCUUCUCUCGGGGAUUUAUGCUCACUCGCUUUGGAAGCAGACCCAGGCCGACUCAUGGCUCAGCCACUCAGCUGUCUGACCUCGUUGGACGGCAACUUCUCACGCUGAAUAAAUCUGAGCUUUCAUCUCGAACAGCAGCUUUGGAAACACAGCAAGCGUGGAGCAAUCCUUGAACUGUUUACAGAGCCAGUAAAAUAAGGAAGACAUCCUCUCAAGAUAAAAGCUGUUUUAUAGUAUAGAAAGAAAGCCCCUCUUUUAAAGUACAGCUAAAAUUGAGAAGGAGACUUUGUAGUUCUACAGCAACUUUCAUCCAAGCAUCUGAAAGCAUUUUAUUGACAUACACCUUUAAUCUACACAACUUCCUGAGGUUGACCUGGAUGUAAAUGCCUGGACACUCUAAUAACGGUCCAUUGUCUCUAGGAAAGGAAUUCCCAC